rnacentral:piRNA from 1 species
UAUUGCUGAAAUAGUUCCUGGGUCUA